rnacentral:rRNA from 1 species
AAGAGGGAAGAAGUGCAUGGUGGUUAAUAUCUGUCAUGUUUGACGGUACCUCUAAAGGAAGCACCGGCUAACUCCGUGCCAGCAGCCGCGGUAAUACGGAGGGUGCAAGCGUUGUUCGGAAUCACUGGGCGUAAAGGGCGCGCAGGCGGCCUGAUCAGUCAGAUGUGAAAGCCCACGGCUUAACUGUGGAAGUGCAUUUGAAACUGUCAGGCUUGAGUACCAGAGGGGAAAGUGGAAUUCCCGGUGUAGAGGUGAAAUUCGUAGAUAUCGGGAGGAAUACCGGUGGCGAAGGCGACUUUCUGGCUGGAUACUGACGCUGAGGCGC